GACGAACGCUGGCGGCGCGCUUAACACAUGCAAGUCGAGCGAUGAAAUCUUAACAGAACCCUUCGGGGUGAAGAUAAGACGGAUUAGCGGCGGACGGGUGAGUAACACGUGAGUAACCUGCCUUUUACACAGGGAUAGCCUCAGGAAACCGGGAUUAAAACCUGAUGAAACUAUCAAAUCACAUGAUUAAGAAAGUUAAAACUCCGGUGGUAAAAGAUGGACUCGCGUCCCACUAGCUAGUUGGUGAAGGUAACGGCCCACCAAGGCAACGAUGGGUAGCCGGCCUGAGAGGGUGAACGGCCACAUUGGAACUGAGAAACGGUCCAAACUCCUACGGGAGGCAGCAGUGGGGAAUAUUGCACAAUGGGGGAAACCCUGAUGCAGCGACGCCGCGUGAGCGAAGAAGGCCUUCGGGUCGUAAAGCUCUUUUAUAUGGGAAGAUAAUGACGGUACCAGAAGAAAAAGCCCCGGCUAACUACGUG
rnacentral:rRNA from 1 species